rnacentral:rRNA from 1 species
GAUAAACGCUGGCGGCGUGCCUAAUACAUGCAAGUCGAGCGAACGGACGAGAAGCUUGCUUCUCUGAUGUUAGCGGCGGACGGGUGAGUAACACGUGGAUAACCUACCUAUAAGACUGGGAUAACUUCGGGAAACCGGAGCUAAUACCGGAUAAUAUUUUGAACCGCAUGGUUCAAAAGUGAAAGACGGUCUUGCUGUCACUUAUAGAUGGAUCCGCGCUGCAUUAGCUAGUUGGUAAGGUAACGGCUUACCAAGGCAACGAUGCAUAGCCGACCUGAGAGGGUGAUCGGCCACACUGGAGCUGAGACACGGUCCAGACUCCUACGGGAGGCAGCAGUAGGGAAUCUUCCGCAAUGGGCGAAAGCCUGACGGAGCAACGCCGCGUGAGUGAUGAAGGUCUUCGGAUCGUAAAACUCUGUUAUUAGGGAAGAACAUAUGUGUAAGUAACUGUGCACAUCUUGACGGUACCUAAUCAGAAAGCCACGGCUAACUACGUGCCAGCAGCCGCGGUAAUACGUAGGUGGCAAGCGUUAUCCGGAAUUAUUGGGCGUAAAGCGCGCGUAGGCGGUUUUUUAAGUCUGAUGUGAAAGCCCACGGCUCAACCGUGGAGGGUCAUUGGAAACUGGAAAACUUGAGUGCAGAAGAGGAAAGUGGAAUUCCAUGUGUAGCGGUGAAAUGCGCAGAGAUAUGGAGGAACACCAGUGGCGAAGGCGACUUUCUGGUCUGUAACUGACGCUGAUGUGCGAAAGCGUGGGGAUCAAACAGGAUUAGAUACCCUGGUAGUCCACGCCGUAAACGAUGAGUGCUAAGUGUUAGGGGGUUUCCGCCCCUUAGUGCUGCAGCUAACGCAUUAAGCACUCCGCCUGGGGAGUACGACCGCAAGGUUGAAACUCAAAGGAAUUGACGGGGACCCGCACAAGCGGUGGAGCAUGUGGUUUAAUUCGAAGCGACGCGAAGAACCUUACCAAAUCUUGACAUCCUUUGACAACUCUAGAGAUAGAGCCUUCCCCUUCGGGGGACAAAGUGACAGGUGGUGCAUGGUUGUCGUCAGCUCGUGUCGUGAGAUGUUGGGUUAAGUCCCGCAACGAGCGCAACCCUUAAGCUUAGUUGCCAUCAUUAAGUUGGGCACUCUAAGUUGACUGCCGGUGACAAACCGGAGGAAGGUGGGGAUGACGUCAAAUCAUCAUGCCCCUUAUGAUUUGGGCUACACACGUGCUACAAUGGACAAUACAAAGGGCAGCGAAACCGCGAGGUCAAGCAAAUCCCAUAAAGUUGUUCUCAGUUCGGAUUGUAGUCUGCAACUCGACUACAUGAAGCUGGAAUCGCUAGUAAUCGUAGAUCAGCAUGCUACGGUGAAUACGUUCCCGGGUCU